CGAUGAAGUUUGGCACCUCGAUGUCGGCUCAUCGCAUCCUGGGGCUGGAGAAGGUCCCAAGGGUCCGGCUGUUCGCCGGUUAAAGCGGUACGCGAGCUGGGUUCAGAACGUCGCGAGACAGUUCGGUCCUCUAUCCUCUGUGGGCGAAGGAAAGUUGAGGGGUUUAAUUCCUAGUACGAGAGGACCGGAAUUAACGCACCUCUGGUGUUCCAGUUGUUCUGUCAAGAGCAUCGCUGGGCAGCUAUGUGCGGAAGAGAUAAGCGCUGAAAGCAUCUAAGUGCCAAGCUCCUCCCAAGAUAAGCUUUCCCUGAAGGAUCGUGGAAGACUACCACGUUGAUAGGUCUCGGGUACAAGCGCAGUAAUGCGUUCAGCUUAGAGAUACUAAUCAUCCGUUUGUCUUGCAUUG
rnacentral:rRNA from 1 species